rnacentral:lncRNA from 1 species
AAUCUCACACAAACAUGCUUUCCCCAGCGGCAUUUCUGCAUUUGUUUGCCAGUGGAGCCCGGGACUACAGAAGGACACAGGAGAUUCAGCUUUGAAACCAAAGGUUUAAUCAAAGUGUUGUGUGAAGACCUGGUUCUUCCUUGAUUGAUGGCUUGCUUACUGCUUGCUGACAGCUGGAAAGGUUCACCCUUUGGGGCAGAAAGACAGUUAACACUCAGCACUGUAAAAUGUUAUAGCAGUCCAAUGAGAGGAAAGGGGGAGGCAACUGUGAAGCCCCAUGAGGUUCCCUAAGGGCACCAUCCUGCAUCUGCAGAGGAUAAAGAGGAUUUUAGACAACUGUUGGACCUUUUCUCAGCUCCAGCCAGAGGUGAGUUCCACUAUGCCAACAGAGAGAAGAUGCCCCAUCACUUCCAUGGCCA